AGUGAACGCUGGCGGUAGGCCUAACACAUGCAAGUCGAACGGCAGCACAGUAAGAGCUUGCUCUUACGGGUGGCGAGUGGCGGACGGGUGGGGAAUACAUCGGAAUCUACUUUUUCGUGGGGGAUAACGUAGGGAAACUUACGCUAAUACCGCAUACGACCUCCGGGUGAAAGCAGGGGAUCUUCGGACCUUGCGCGAUUGAAUGAGCCGAUGUCGGAUUAGCUAGUUGGCGGGGUAAAGGCCCACCAAGGCGACGAUCCGUAGCUGGUCUGAGAGGAUGAUCAGCCACACUGGAACUGAGACACGGUCCAGACUCCUACGGGAGGCAGCAGUGGGGAAUAUUGGACAAUGGGCGCAAGCCUGAUCCAGCCAUACCGCGUGGGUGAAGAAGGCCUUCGGGUUGUAAAGCCCUUUUGUUGGGAAAGAAAAGCAGCAGGUUAAUACCCCGCUGUUCUGACGGUACCCAAAGAAUAAGCACCGGCUAACUUCGUG
rnacentral:rRNA from 1 species